UACGGAGGGGGCUAGCGUUGUUCGGAAUUACUGGGCGUAAAGCGCACGUAGGCGGCUUUUUAAGUCAGAGGUGAAAGCCCGGAGCUCAACUCCGGAAUUGCCUUUGAGACUGGAUGGCUUGAAUCACGGAGAGGUGGGUGGAAUUCCGAGUGUAGAGGUGAAAUUCGUAGAUAUUCGGAAGAACACCAGUGGCGAAGGCGGCCCACUGGACGUGUAUUGACGCUGAGGUGCGAAAGCGUGGGGAGCAAACAGG
rnacentral:rRNA from 1 species